CCCUUAGAUGUUCUGGGCUGCACGCGUGCUACACUGAUAUUGCCAAUAUGUCAUUCUUAUCCGAAAUGGAUUGGGUAAUCAAGUAAUGAAGUUUCAUGCUUGGAAUCGGUAAUUGCAAUUUUAUCGUGAACGAGGAAUUCCUAGUAAGCACUAGUCAUCAGCUAAUGUUGAUUAUGUCCCUGCCCUUUGUACACACCGCCCGUCGCUACUACUGAUUGGGUGUUCAAGUGAGAUGCUUAGACCCUUGUUGCAUGGUUCAUUAUUGUGCUCCGAAAGGAAAAAGUUUCAAGCUUGAGUGUCUAGAGGAAGUAAAAGUCGUAACA
rnacentral:rRNA from 1 species